GGGAUUAUUGGGCGUAAAGCGAGCGCAGGCGGUUUUUUAAGUCUGAUGUGAAAGCCUUCGGCUUAACCGGAGAAGUGCAUCGGAAACUGGGAGACUUGAGUGCAGAAGAGGACAGUGGAACUCCAUGUGUAGCGGUGGAAUGCGUAGAUAUAUGGAAGAACACCAGUGGCGAAGGCGGCUGUCUAGUCUGUAACUGACGCUGAGGCUCGAAAGCAUGGGUAGCGAACAGGAUUAGAUACCCUGGUAGUCCAUGCCGUAAACGAUGAGUGCUGAGUGUUGGAGGGUUUCCGCCCUUCAGUGCUGCAGCUAACGCAUUAAGCACUCCGCCUGGGGAGUACGACCGCAAGGUUGAAACUCAAAGGAAUUGACGGGGGCCCGCACAAGCGGUGGAGCAUGUGGUUUAAUUCGAAGCUACGCGAAGGACCUUACCAGGUCUUGACAUCUUCUGCCAAUCUUAGAGAUAAGACGUUCCCUUCGGGGACAGAAUGACAGGUGGUGCAUGGUUGUCGUCAGCUCGUGUCGUGAGAUGUUGGGUUAAGUCCCGCAACGAGCGCAACCCUUAUUAUCAGUUGCCAGCAUUCAGUUGGGCACUCUGGUGAGACUGCCGGUGACAAACCGGAGGAAGGUGGGGAUGACGUCAAAUCAUCAUGCCCCUUAUGACCUGGGCUACACACGUGCUACAAUGGACGGUACAACGAGUCGCAAAGUCGUGAGGCUAAGCUAAUCUCUUAAAGCCGUUCUCAGUUCGGAUUGUAGGCUGCAACUCGCCUACAUGAAGUUGGAAUCGCUAGUAAUCGCGGAUCAGCAUGCCGCGGUGAAUACGUUCCCGGGCC
rnacentral:rRNA from 1 species